rnacentral:rRNA from 1 species
UACGGAGGGUGCAAGCGUUAUCCGGAUUCACUGGGUUUAAAGGGAGCGUAGGAGGGCAGGUAAGUCAGUGGUGAAAUCUUCGAGCUUAACUCGGAAACUGCCGUUGAUACUAUCUGUCUUGAAUACCGUGGAGAUGAGCGGAAUAUGUCAUGUAGCGGUGAAAUGCUUAGAUAUGACAUAGAACACCAAUUGCGAAGGCAGCUCGUUUCAACGAAUAUUGACUCUGAGGCUCAAAAGCGUGGGGGAUCAAAAC